rnacentral:rRNA from 1 species
AGAGUUUGAUUAUGGCUCAGAUUGAACGCUGGCGGCAGGCCUAACACAUGCAAGUCGAGCGGUAGAGAGAAGCUUGCUUCUCUUGAGAGCGGCGGACGGGUGAGUAAUGCCUAGGAAUCUGCCUGGUAGUGGGGGAUAACGUUCGGAAACGGACGCUAAUACCGCAUACGUCCUACGGGAGAAAGCAGGGGACCUUCGGGCCUUGCGCUAUCAGAUGAGCCUAGGUCGGAUUAGCUAGUUGGUGAGGUAAUGGCUCACCAAGGCGACGAUCCGUAACUGGUCUGAGAGGAUGAUCAGUCACACUGGAACUGAGACACGGUCCAGACUCCUACGGGAGGCAGCAGUGGGGAAUAUUGGACAAUGGGCGAAAGCCUGAUCCAGCCAUGCCGCGUGUGUGAAGAAGGUCUUCGGAUUGUAAAGCACUUUAAGUUGGGAGGAAGGGCAGUUACCUAAUACGUGAUUGUUUUGACGUUACCGACAGAAUAAGCACCGGCUAACUCUGUGCCAGCAGCCGCGGUAAUACAGAGGGUGCAAGCGUUAAUCGGAAUUACUGGGCGUAAAGCGCGCGUAGGUGGUUAGUUAAGUUGGAUGUGAAAUCCCCGGGCUCAACCUGGGAACUGCAUUCAAAACUGACUGACUAGAGUAUGGUAGAGGGUGGUGGAAUUUCCUGUGUAGCGGUGAAAUGCGUAGAUGUAGGAAGGAACACCAGUGGCGAAGGCGACCACCUGGACUGAUACUGACACUGACGUGCGAAAGCGUGAGGAGCAAACAGGAUUAGAUACCCUGGUAGUCCACGCCGUAAACGAUGUCAACUAGCCCUUGGGAGCCUUGAGCUCUUAGUGGCGCAGCUAACGCAUUAAGUUGACCGCCUGGGGAGUACGGCCGCAAGGUUAAAACUCAAAUGAAUUGACGG